ACGAGUAAAUAAUAUAUAGUCGCCAAAUAACGCUUGGUACAAAAUUAAUUAUAAUACGAAGCAGUUAUUAACAGAUAAGAGGAAUCAUAGAUCCGUAUGUAUUGUUAAAAGAUACUGGAUAGGUCGCUUCUAUGAUCCAUACUUGGUUAUUCUAGAUCGCGAUCCAAGGAAGGACACAAGGAGCUCGGCUAUCCUGGGCUAGGAGAGGUAAUUCGAGCUUUUUGUUCGUAUGUUUUAUUGUGACGCUAGCGAAUAUUCACUACGGCAAAAAUAAUACUGACUGUCUAUCCGUAUAUUUAAUAUUGACUGCGUCUUGUCCAAGAUUGUACAGUGACCAAAACCAGUUGAUUUUGGAAACGAACAACUAUUACGGAUUUACAUGAAUUCUCGUCGCGAAGGAACCGGGCAAUAAUUAGCUUAUUUAUACAUUAUUCGUAACAUUUCGUUUUUUGAAAUAUUUAUGUUAUAAUUUUUAAGUGGGGACUGCCGUAGAUGAGACACGCGUAAAUGGGUUUCAAACGAACCUUAACGACAUUGCAAUAGUCGUACUUAUAAUUAGAUGUUCAGGACGACUUUCUGACACUCGCCAAAAUCGCACGAGUGAUACUAAUCAACCUCGACACCGCAUCUGUGUGAACAUAUUUUCGUCCGGUUUCGAUCGGGGCAAGACACGACACGUUUCGUGACGUAUAUAAUAGCAGUGGAGUGGAGCGUUUUUUUUUGUCCGUCAUUUCUCGAGUAUUUUUUUCUUUCGGAAACCGUCACAUAAUUUUCCGCCGCGUCCUUGGCACCGCCGCCGGAAGGACACUUGUUGGACCAAGACGGGCGAGGAAAAGAAAAAAACACAAUUCCCUCUACUCGUAUAAACGGCUCGUGGGUGAGACAAUAUUUUCGCGUAUUUAAUAAUUUAAUUGUACGCGGGACGUACGUGACGUGCCAUAUGCAUAACAUACUUCAACCAAAUAUCCCUCAACAACCUCUUAUAUAUGUUGACUUGUUAAACGUUGUUUAAAAUUGUUUACGAUUCGUCAGAGUUUAUUUUCUCAGAAAUUCGAGCUCUAUACCUUUUGUGGUAGGUACUAACUUCAUGUAGCAUCGCGUAAAAGUUCAAUGUCGUUGUACUGGUCUCAAAAUACUCGCACACGUUUGAUACGCGUUGUUAAUAAUAAU